rnacentral:rRNA from 1 species
GCAAGUCGAACGUGAAAGCCUUCGGGUGAGUAGAGUGGCGGACGGGUGAGUAACGCGUAGGAAUCUACCUAUUAGUGGGGGACAACAUGGUGAAAACCAUGCUAAUACCGCAUGUGCACUACGGUGUAAAGAGGGCUUCGGCUCUUGCUAGUAGAUGAGCCUGCGUCGGAUUAGCUAGUUGGUGUGGUAAGAGCGCACCAAGGCGACGAUCCGUAGCUGGUCUGAGAGGAUGAUC